CAAGGAGAGAGAAGAGGAAGUCUUGCAUUAGGGAGUUGGGGGUUGGGUUUCUGUGUGUUUUCAGAGAAACAACCUCAGCUUCCAGGUUUCUAGAGGGGUUCCCCAUCCUCUGCUCAGUUCAGCCCCAGGCAGGCAGAACCGUGCCCAAGCCUCCCUCCUGAGCUCCCGCAUAUGCUUUCUUGCUAAAUGACUCUUGCUCCAUCGUCUCCUCACAGGUCCUGGUGCCAGGGUGGAAGGGAGCCAUCAAGCCCGGCCGCGCUCUGGGACUGGCAGCGAACGAAUGACUGGCAGCGGGCAUCUCUGUCAGCGCUUUGGCAUGCCGCAGAGUAGAAGCCCCACGCUAAUGAAUGCCAUCUACACCUACCAGAUGUGCCACUGGGUGACAUGCCAGAUCUUUUACAUAAUGCCAUUCUGCCGGACCCGAGACAGCUGGGGAUUCCAAAAAGGAAAACUGUUUAGAAGGUUAAAGGAAAAAUCCCACUGAGAACAGCUGAAAUGAAAAGGGGUUCCACAGCCCCAGCUCGUCCCGCUCUUCUCUACUCUCCAAGUGCAAGGGGCCGCACCCCUCCCACGCCCCCUGCGGGGCCCUAGGGCCUCCCCUCCCCUCCCGCGUAGAGUCUCCGGCCAGCCAAGGGGCCCCGCGCCUGCCCGGUCCUCACAGCCCACCCCGCCCCGCCGCCUGGGCUCCAGAUGGCGGCGCAGCGAGAGCGGCACGCAGGGUCCCCUCCUCCCGCCCAGCUGCCUCUGCGUUGACCUGGCUGCUCAGCACUGCAGGCCGGCGCCUGUCUGACCGGGAGGGGGCGGUGUGCCCCGGGGGACGCAGGUUUCCUGCCUUCCCUCUCUCUUGCACCCUCAUAUUCUUGAGGGUUCUACGGGCCGGAGACGAUGUGAAUGUGGCCCCUCUGCGAAGAUACAGAUACACAAGGAAAACCAAAGCUAUUCAGGCUCCUCAUUUGUCCGGCAGCUAACAGUGGGGCCCUUUCUCUGCGGCUGCUUCCCUGCCUAGGCAGCAGCAGUUAUGGUAGAAGCAGAUGGCUACUGAUUGGGGGAGCUUUGUGGCUCUAAUACUGAAUACUUUAUGGAAAAGGACUUUAUCAUGCUUCGUUGGGCAGGGGAACAACGGGAUGAGAUUUACAGCCAGA
rnacentral:lncRNA from 1 species